rnacentral:rRNA from 1 species
UUAACAAAAACAUGUCUUUUUGAGUUAUUUUAAAAGUCUGGCCUGCCCACUGAGGUGUUUAAAGGGCCGCAGUAUUCUAACUGUGCAAAGGUAGCAUAAUCAUUAGUCUUUUAAUUGGAGGCUGGUAUGAACGGUUGGACGAGGUAUAAGCUGUUUCAUAUAAAUUUAUAAUAGAAUUUUAUAUUUUAGUUAAAAAGCUAAAAUGUUGUUAAAAGACGAGAAGACCCUAUAAAUCUUUAUACUUUGCUUUAUUUAAGUUUUGUGGAUUUAUUUUAUUUUUAUAUUGGAGAGUAUUUUAUUGGGGUGAUAUUAAAAUUUAAUAAACUUUUAAUUGUAAUUGGGUCAUUGAUUUAUGUUUUAUUGAUCCAUUAUUAGUGAUUAUGAGAUUAAGUUACUUUAGGGAUAACAGCGUAAUUUUUUUGGAGAGUUCAUAUCGAUAAAAAAGUUUGCGACCUCGAUGUUGGAUUAAGAGAUAUUUUUAGGUGUAGCCGCUUAAAUGUAAAGUCUGUUCGACUUUUAAAUUCUUACGUGAUCUGAGUUC